UUUUGAAGUGGGAGGGGAUGAUGUGAUCAUGGAAAGCACCAAGGAAUGGAAUCAUGAACCUGAUCAUGGAGAACUGAUGUGAUCAUGGAAAGCACCAAGGAAUGGAAUCAUGAACCUGAUCAUGGAGAACUUGUAGCUGUGGAAGAACCUACACUUGAAGAAUGUUUGAGCCGAAAUAAAGCUUCUAUCAUCAGAGACAACUUGAUCUACAUUCAAGCUACUCUACACUCAAGCUGAUCAUCAUCUAGGCAAGUAGCUUGUGUGUACUCUUUUUCCCUUGAUUGGUUUUGUCCCACUGGGUUUUCCAAUCAAGGUUUUUAAUGAGGCCACAAGUUACUUCUCUUACCUCCUAGAUGAUUGAUCUUGGUCUGUCCACAUGAAGACCUUAUCUUAUAUUUUAAGCUAUGCUUUUAUGUUAUUUAGUUUUCGAAAAAACUCUAGUCUUUGUUGUGUUUCCAAGGGAGCUUUUGUCUUUAUUUUCCUUGUAUUUUCGAGACCUUGUGCAUGUACAAGGCUUCUCCUUUAUAUUCUGGUCGUGGCCCCUUGUAUCAGCAUCCAUCUUUUUAUCAAAAACCUUUGUUUUCUCUUUUCUUCUUGCUUGUCGAGUUGAGUGAGUGUUGGUGUGUAAUAUCCAACUUCUGGUGUGUAAUAUCCAGAGACUAAGGGCUCUAGUUUGGUGUGUCAUAUCCGAUCUAUUGCCUAGGAGUAUCAAGGAGCCUUUCCGCAGCCUUUUGUGUCACCAUUCGAUCCACAUACCUUGAGAAACUUGAGUCUUUUGAUUCGUUUCUGCAAGGAUUAUCCCAUCUGUUCCAGAGCAUCAUCCUAGGAUCUCAUCAAGUGGUAUCAGAGCAACUCUGGAAGGGAAGUGUGUUGAUUUCUCUAUGAUUUUCGAUUUGUCUCUUCAUAUUCAUGCUAGAAACUGAUAGAUCUGUGUUGUGGCUGUCGAAAUCUGAUAGAUUAAGGUUAUCUGAUUUCGUUUUUGUGUUAAAAACUCUUCAUAUACCUUGCUGAGAAAGUUUUCUGAUUUACUUGAUCAAUCUGUUUCUGUUUCUGAAAUUUCGAAUUGUUUCUGUCUUGAUCUACUCUGUUUUGAUUAAACUUGAUGUACUAGACUUGAAAGUGAACCUGAAAUCAAAAUCUCUCUGUUCUGUUUCGAAAUCAAUCUGAUCUGUUAGGUUUGUGAUUUAUCAGUUCUGUUCAGAUUAGUUUUGAUCUGUUUUAAAUCAUUGGUUGAGUUUUUAAUUUGUUCUGAGAAUUGUCUAAGGUUUUAAGCUUCAGUUUGAAUCUGUUUCUGGUUUUGCAAAUUGAUUUUUGUUUUCUCUGUAGAACUUGUUACUGCUGUGUGUUGUUUUCUGUCUCAGGUACUAUGGCAGGAGAUCAGAACGGAAAGCUCACUAAGGAAGAAAGGCUGCUACUUAAAUCUAUGAAUGCUCAUCUGCAGCAGAUGAUGGAUAACAACAUGGGUGAAUUUCAAAAGAAGCUUAGACAAAAGUUUCUGCAGCAAACUGAUGAUCUUAGGCAGAAAAAUAAAAAGAGAAUGGACAGUCAAAAGCUUGAGCCAAGAUCACCAGAUUCUGUUCAAAACAAGUCAAGCAAGCAUAAGUGGUAUAAGGAAGAGGAAGCAGGACGUGGACAACAGUCUUACAAACAGACAGCCCACACUUCGAGCAGACCACAUCAAGCUUCUCGCACUCCUAAAUCAAAUAUUCAUUCUUCUUACAAUCAAAUUGUCACUAAGCCUCAACUUUAUGUUUUUACAGGGGAAGGUGAUUAUUUAAAGUGGGAAAGAACAAUGGAGAAGUGGCUUUGCUACAACAAAAUCCUGAAGAGAGAAGCAUUGGCUUAUGUGAUGUCUCAGCUCAAAGGAAACGUUUUUAAGUGGUUGUUGCAAGAAGAAGAUGAUCGCAGGUACUACAAGGAACCAGCUAUCACCACUUGGGAAGAUCUGAAGUUGCUACUAAGGAAGAAGUAUGCAUCCAAAGGCCACACUUCUCUGAAAUCUCCAAAGAAGAAAGUCAUAUCCGCAACAGACUUCAAAAGUGAAAAAUCAGAAACCAAGAUGGCUGAUUAUGAGAAAGAAAUCAGCAGCCUUGUUAAGGAGAUUCUUAAGACCAGCAAGCACUUAGACAAGCAGAAGAAGCUCCCAAAGAAUCAAGAACCAGUUGCUACUGUCUCAGAACUCAAUGAUGCAGAACCAGACUCAGCUGCCCCAAUUCAAGAAGCUCAAACCAAAACAUCUAUGGGAAAAGGAAAGUUUGAGAAAGAACAAGAGUUUUCUCUGUUCUUACCUCACUCUGAAUCUAAUUUUGAUGAUUCCUUUGAUGAACUAACUUGUCUUGAACCGGUGCAACCGAGUAGAAUUGUUUCAGUGUCACAGGUUGCAAAAGAAGACUCAGCAGAAAAAGAACCAGAGAGUACAACACAAGAAGAACAACAGAAAAACUUGCAGACAGAAUCAGCUCAUGAAUCUUUGUCUUAUGAUCUGCAAGAGCACUGUAAGGAGUUUAAUAUGGUUGCUUCUGUGCCUAGAAUGUUUGUUAAAGUGAGUACUGAAGACAUAAAACGUUUUGGUCUUGAUAAAGUAAAAGAUUUUUUUGUUUCAAAAUCUGUUUUUGAUAACAUGUUUAAAUCUUUUAAAGAACUUAAACCAGUAAUCAUCUUUGAUCAAAAAAAUUUUCAAAAUCAAAAUAAUAACAUUUCUGGUCAUAUUCUGAGUUUUGAUCAUUUUCUGAAACAUGGCAAAAGUUUUGAUCAUUUUGAAAAGGUUUUAGAGCUUGAAUUGAAACAAUUUGAUUUCUGUUUGAAACCUUGUGAUUCAUUUGCUAGAACUGAAGAAAGGAGUUUUGUUACGAACUUCCAUGUGCAUAAACUGAUCCUUGAUAAUUCUUUUGUUUCUGCUUAUGUAUUGAAUGAACCUAAGAAGUUGCAGGAACCGAAAUUGCAUCAAUCUGAUUUUAGAUUUAAAUUUGUGAAAUCUGCAAAGUUCUCUGAGUUUGAGCUUGAUUGUUUGUGUGCUAAAAAUGAUUCUAAACGUGUAGGGUUGUUCUUUGAGGAUAUUCUAGUGUAUAACACUUUCUUUGAUAAACCUGUUGCACAAUUGAAACUAGAGUUCACUGAUUCUGAAUGUAUGAACUUAAUCCUUGAUGAUAUUUGGGUCUGCAAUAUUUUUGUUGAUAUGCAUAAUAAAUGGAGGAAUCAUGCUGUUUUGUGCUUUGGAGACAUUCUGGUCUACAACACUUUCUUUGACAUGAUAACACACUUGACUUGUCCAAAACAAGCUGAAAAAGGUACAGGUGAAGAAAGGGGCUAUAAUGAUCAGAGUAUCCAUGAUGAGUCCUUGGCUAAAUUGGAGAUGCAACAAUCAAAUCUUGGAAACUGUCUAGCCGCCAGGUUUAACAUAGGAGCAGUCCGAGGAUCAUAUCUCAGCAACCAGAAGGAAUUAAGCAACAAACUCAACUGCAAUGGAAACUACACUCAUCAGGGUCUCACGUCGAACUGGAAUCAUGUCCAAAGCUUCUCAAAUGAAAGAGUUAUGGGUUCUACAAGACGGGUGAUUCUGUGUUUGCUUUGUUUGAAUUUUUCUGAGUAUAGAACAUCUCAAUCCUAUAUAUGGCGACCAGGUGAGCAUGCUAAGGUAACCAAUCAUGUUUUCAAGAGUUCCUUUAUUGAUUACACAGAUAUGAUGCACUUGUUUUUGUCAAAAGAGUCAUGUGCAGAUUAUAUGGAAGCUUUGAAGCAUGCAAAGACAAAGAACAAGCGUGAGGAAGACAAACGUUUCAAGCCGCCUGAUCUAAGCCAGGAGAGACAUCAGGACGUCACUUGCUUCAUCCUCAUCAAAGAAGCACCUCCAGAUGCAACAUACAAGCCAAAACCGAGAAAAUAUAACUUUGGGAUAAGAAUCUUACUCUAUGAUGAUUUUGCUUGUGUUAACUUGUCUUGUUUCAAAGUAUCAGGUUUAAGUAAUGCCUCAGGAGUGAGGAAAGCCAAAUGGAUCAGUCCCUUCUACCUAAUAGAACCAGUCAGCGACAAUGCCUAUCAAAGAGGCUUGCAAGGUAAGUGUAAUCUGAUUAUAAACUCUGAUGUUACUGACUUGGUCCCUUCUAUUGCAGGUAACACAGAUUUGAGGACAAAUCUUUUUGAAGUGGGAGGGGAUGAUGUGAUCAUGGAAAGCACCAAGGAAUGGAAUCAUGAACCUGAUCAUGGAGAACUUGUAGCUGUGGAAGAACCUACACUUGAAGAAUGUUUGAGCCGAAAUAAAGCUUCUAUCAUCAGAGACAACUUGAUCUACAUUCAAGCUACUCUACACUCAAGCUGAUCAUCAUCUAGGCAAGUAGCUUGUGUGUACUCUUUUUCCCUUGAUUGGUUUUGUCCCACUGGGUUUUCCAAUCAAGGUUUUUAAUGAGGCCACAAGUUACUUCUCUUACCUCCUAGAUGAUUGAUCUUGGUCUGUCCACAUGAA
rnacentral:lncRNA from 1 species